rnacentral:rRNA from 1 species
GACGAACCGUGCGAACGUUGUUCGGAAUCACUGGGCUUAAAGGGUGCGUAGGCGGGCUCGUCAGUCGGGGGUGAAAUCCCACGGCCCAACCGUGGAAGUGCCUCCGAUACUGCGAACCUGGAGGGGGAUAGGGGCGCGCGGAACUUCCGGUGGAGCGGUGAAAUGCGUAGAUAUCGGAAGGAACACCGGUGGCGAAAGCGGCGCGCUGGAUCCCUACUGACGCUGAGGCACGAAAGCCAGGGGAGCAAACGGG